UACAGAGGUGCCGAGCGUUAGGCGGAAUCACUGGGCUUAAAGCGUGUGUAGGGCGGACUUCUAAGUACCUUGUGAAAUCCCACGGCUUACCCCGGUGGAACUGCUGGGUAUACUGGUCGUCUUGAGCCACCUAGGGGCCAGGCGGAACAAAUGGUGGAGCGGUGAAAUGACGUAGAUAUCAUUUGGAACGCCAACGGUGAAAACAGCUGGCUGGGGGUGUGCUGACGCUGAGACACGAAAGCCAGGGGAGGCGAAACGGG
rnacentral:rRNA from 1 species